GGGCGCUGCCCAGGUGCAGGACGGGCCCCCUGGGGGUCUCGGGACGGCUCCCGCCUGGGUCUUCCCCGCGCCGCGCGCUUUGGAGGCCUGGGCACAGGCGGAGGCGGGGCUGGGUCCCGCCGCACACUCCCCUGUCGCAGGCGCCCUCUCUCCAGCCGGAGGGGACCUCGAGAAGCCCUGAGCGAGUCCCCGUCCCACGUGGGGCCGCGGCUUAUACGGGGACCACUUCAGGGUUCGAAAACAGAACCCCGGCCCGGUGCACCGGAGAAGAGAAAAUCGCUCGCGGCCACCUGGGUAGAGACCCUGGACUGGGAGGCGUGGAGGAGCGAGCGGGGUCUGCGGCUCCCGCCAGCAGAUCCUGGAUGAAUCAGCGAAAUUUUGUGUUACCUUGACAGUUUUGAUCCCGAACGGUGUCCAGCGGUGGCAUCACCAAGAUUUCCGGGAGUACUAGGGAUUGGGAAGAAUCGUAGAUAGGAGACUAAGCCAGCCGUCCCGGAAGCAAUAGUUGCUGGGUCUUGCUCUGUCACCCAGGUUGGAGUGUAGUGACACAAACACAGCUCACUGCAGUCUCGACCUCCUGGGCUCCAGCGAUUCUCCCACCUCAGCCUCCGGAGCAGCUAGAACCACCGGAGCGUACCACCACGCCUGGCUAAUUUUGGUACUAUUUUGUAAAGACGCGUUUCGCAAUAUUGCCCAGGUCGAUCUCAAACUCCUCUUCCCUCGGCCUAGCAGUGUGCUAGGAUUACAGGCGCGAGUCACUG